rnacentral:rRNA from 1 species
UUUAGUUUUAGUAUGUCUGUCCUUUUCUUUUUGCUUAAAGAUAGUUUAGUUAUCUUCUUUCCUAGGAAAGGGACUAAACUUAGGGCAGGAGGAAGUUUAUCCUAUAGAGAUCUGAAGGGAUAUUAUUGACGUUACUAAAAUAGGUAAAACGCUUAAGGAUGAAACAAAAUUCAUAUAAAUAAUGAAACAAAUAUCUAUGUAAUACAUUUAACUAGUUGAAAUUUAUCUUUUUUAUUUCAUUUCUCAUUUAUUCUUUUGUCUUAUAAGACAGAGUAUCAAGACUUUAUCUCAAGAAAUAAAAAUAAAAUAUCAUAAUGAAGAGUAAUUAAGAUGACGUAUCUAAUCAGGAUGAUAGAAUUAAUCCAAGAUUAAAUCAUCAUAAGAGUAAAAAUAAAUUA